ensembl:lncRNA
CGGCUGCGAGCGGCGCGUUGCGAGCAGCGCUGCGGUACGCACGGCCCUGAGUGCCGGGGUCCGGGCGAUGGGCUACGGUUUCCCGAGGGCACCGAGCUGGGAGACCGGAAUUUACGCCGUAUGGUUCAUUUGGUACACCGCUGUAUUACACUAGAAGCCACCAGAUUAUGUGACCACAUCGACAGCUUACUCCAGGCACAAAUAUGACUGAGGAUGCCAGGCUGGCACGAACUGCCCCCUCCCUCCACCUCACUGCUGCGGUUCCUCCACGGAUGUUCGGGAAGAUAUUAGCUGCAGAAAAUUCAGCUGGGGGUCCUCGGGUGCGAGUUCCUGGUUCCUGUAAGGCACAGUCGAGGUGCUUCCACUGUACUUGCGGCACCAGGCAGGUCCCGGAGCUCGGGAGCUCGCAGAUCUCGUCCGUACCAUCCGACCAUGAAAAUCUGGUCCCAAAAUUAUCCCAAAGAUUCUCGUGUGAAAGCUGCCAAGGUUUUAUCCUUGGGGGAAUUAAAAAAGAAACCACAUGCCACACAGCCCCGCACCGCAUCUCAACGACAACCUGCUAUAUGCCGACGACCUCCGGCACUCUCAAGGAGGUGUCUCUAGCGUUCGAACUAAUCUAGAGACAUUUCCAGCUGAUUACUGUUCUCUUUAAUAAUGGCUCAUAUUUCUCGUCUUGUAGAAGGAGAUUUAGCCACAGAAAAGCUCCGCAGAUAUCCCCAGCCUCCUCGAGAAAGCACAGAGUCGUGCUGCAUCUUUCCCUUUCUGGGGCUGAGUUCUGCCUUCUGCUCAUUCGAACCUGCUGCUGUGCGGCACCCGGAGCAACACGCGGGCGCUGCGGAACGCACUGCGGUGUGCGGCACCCGGAGCUGCCGGCGGGGCUCCACUGCACGGGCUGCUAAGGGGCUGCGCCCGCCGAGCGCUGCCGCGGGCGGCUCGUGUGCUGCGUGCUUGCGAGCUACAGAAAUAGAAGCGUUGUUUGUUAUAAUCGUUAUUACUAUCAUCAUCAUUUUUAUUUCCCUAGCGCAUUUCUUUAUUUAAAAACAUUUAUGGCGGUCACGGACCGUCUGUAUGGGUUAAGCUGCCGAAGCAGUCCAGGAUAAACAGAAAGAGAGCUGCUAUCGUUUGUAAGAUCGGCGUAAUACUGUAAAAUAAGAUUGGGAGAUUAAAAUCCUGCAAUCCGUUUUAUUCCUUGCUGCGCUCUCAAGUCGUCAGGCUCCUCAGUGUCUGGGGUUGCAGAAACGUCACAUUUUUUUUACCGAGGCGAGCUCUACCAGCGGGAUCUGCUCAGCUGGAAUUAGAUGUGUGACCUUUCCCGGUUCCUCGUUUUAUCUCUCUUGAACUUAACCUGAAUUACGGUCCAGUCUGCAUUAAUACCGCACCGCCUCGCCCAGAAAGCCCACCGACACGCC